AUCGCUUCUCGGCCUUUUGGCUCAGAUCAAGUGUAGUAUCUGUUCUUAUCAGUUUAAUAUCUGAUACGUCCCCCAUCGGGGGACUACAUAUUAAAUGGAUUUUUCGAACAGGGAGUCGGAAAUGGGGCUUGCUCCU
rnacentral:snRNA from 8 species